rnacentral:lncRNA from 1 species
CGUAAACGGCGAAAACAUAAUUACUGGGUUCACCCAAUAACAAGUCAGCGAUUACUAAAAGGGCAGUUUCACAAGUUAUUUGAAGAUUUGAGUGAACAUCCUAUAAAAUUCUUUCAGUAUUACCGAAUGACGAAAAAUAGUUUUGAUGAACUUUUGAGAAUAAUUGGUCCAUCAAUUACAUAUAAAAACACAAAAUGGAGAUUGUCUAUACCACCAGAAGAACGUCUAUCAGUGACUUUGAGGUACCUUGCCACUGGGAACAGCUUCAUUUCGUUACACUUUGAAUAUUUAUUGGGUGCCAGCACAAUUGGUCACAUCAUUAAAGAUACUUGCUCAAAAUUGUGGACAUGUUUACAACCAAUACACAUGCCUACCAAAUCAGAGGAAGAUUGGAAGGAGAUAGCAAAACAAUUUUACUUGCGAACGAACUUCCCAAAUUGCAUUGGUGCCAUUGACGGCAAACAUAUAAGAAUUCAGAAGCCAAAUCACUCUGGAUCUCUUUUUUACAAUUAUAAAAAUUACUUUUCGAUUGUGUUACUUGCUGUAGUAGACGCAGACUAUUGUUUUACAGCAAUCGAUGUAGGAUCUUACGGUAGUAACAGUGAUUCAAAUAUUCUG